GUGUGGUCCACAAGACAGGAUUGGUGUCACCUGGGAGCCCUUAGAAAUGUAGGAUCUUGGAUUCCAACCCAGAUCUGCUGAAUCAGAAUGUGAAUUUUAACAAGAAUCCCACCUGCUGCCUGAACGUGUGAGCUUCAAAAGCGUGACCUUAUAUAAGGAGCAUUCCCCACCAAGUAGCAGGUUACAAGGACAGAGCAGGCUCAGGGCGCUCCUGCAGCCUCUGCAGACUCCAGGCUCUUAUUAGUUGUGUGGAUCUUAUCUACUGCAUAGGAAAAGCAGAGGUUAUUACAAGAAAAAGCAAUGAUCAGGAUGCCUAUUAACAUAGGAAAUGCUCUUUAAAUGGCUGUUACAUUUGGAUUUGAUGAGGUUUAAUGUUAGUGUAGACUGUGAGGCCAAGAGUGGCUCUUCUCCUAGCCGCCAUAGGGUGGCGCUGUGUCACCAACGUCUUUUCCUCUUUGACAGGCUUCCAGCUGUCUCCCCAGCGGGGAAGUCAGAAACUGCCCUGGGACUUCCAGGUCUCUGUUUCGAAUUACCAAGCACGACCGGGCAGCUGGGACACCAAUCCAACCAUUCAUCUGACGGAUAAUGGGAAAACAGGCCUCAGCUUUGUGCCCAGCAGGAAUGCAAAACGUCUAAACCACGUUGUUGUCCUCUUUGGGAGUUGGCACUGUGGAAGGAACCAGGUGCUGUUCUGGGCUAGAUGGGCUGGAAUCCUAGCUCUCAACUAUACCAGCUGGGUAACCUUGGAUGAAAUGAUUUCCACAGUACCCUCAUGCCAAUUGGAUACAGGUAUUCCUGGCCCCAUUUCACCAUUGGUCAGACAGAGAACUAAUAAAUAUGAGAGAGAAGAUCAGCAUGGACAUUGCAACUUUGAAGGAAACACACACAGAAGUGGAAAGACCCAGAUCUCACUUCUCUAA
rnacentral:lncRNA from 1 species